CUCAAUGACUUUGUAUCACUGUGGAACACGUUCGGUGGAGGAACCAGACUGAAUGUUGGAAGUGAUGUCCGUCCCACCCUGACGGUGCUGCCCCCCUCCAGUGAGGAGUUGCUGAAGGGGGAGGCCACGCUCAUGUGUCUGGCCAACAAGGGCUUCCCCUCAGACUGGAGUCUGGCCUGGAAGAUGGACGGCAGCAGCAUCAGCAGCAGCUGGGAGGAGAGCAGGAGCCCGGGGGUGCUGGAGAAUGAUGGCCACUACAGCUGGACCAGCACCCUGAGGCUCCCUGCAGACCAAUGGAGGAAGGUGGGCUCUGUGACCUGUGAGGCCACCCAGGGCUCCCAGAUUCCGCUCUCAGAGACACUGAGGAGAGACCAGUGUUCCUAGUCCUGACCUGACUCACUGGAACUCUGCUACUGGUUUCACUCUGAAAGUCUCAGUCUGUGCUCUGCAAUUAUCUCUGUUUUUAAUUAAUUUGAUAUCUUUCAAUAGCGAUAUUUACCAGCUUGUUGCAAUAUUUCUAUAUUAUUUCAGUGUUUAAAGACAAUAAAGAUGUGUUCAUCAAAUCA